rnacentral:ncRNA from 2 species
CUCUUAUCCUGAGCUGGCGGAGGGACAGGCCCAAUGAAGCCCGGCAACCUGCUUGAUUAUAGGCGGCAGUCAUAACAGAGACUGACCAGCACUUAUAUCAUUAUAAGAUUAUUUUCAAGACAAAGGUGCUAACCUGCAGCAAGGGCAAAACCUUGAGCGAUAAGAG